CNAUGGGGGAACCCUGAUGCAGCGACGCCGCGUGGAGGAAGAAGGUCUUCNUGNANANUAAACUCCUGGNAAGUUGAGGAAGAUAAUGACGGUACUCAACNUCCAAGUGACGGCUAACUACGUGCCAGCAGCCGCGGUAAAACGUAGGUCACAAGCGUUGUCCGGAAUUACUGGGUGUAAAGGGAGCGCAGGCGGGAGAACAAGUUGGAAGUGAAAUCCAUGGGCUCAACCCAUGAACUGCUUUCAAAACUGUUUUUCUUGAGUAGUGCAGAGGUAGGCGGAAUUCCCGGUGUAGCGGUGGAAUGCGUAGAUAUCGGGAGGAACACCAGUGGCGAAGGCGGCCUACUGGGCACCAACUGACGCUGAGGCUCGAAAGUGUGGGUAGCAAACAGGAUUAGAUACCCUGGUAGUCCAAGGGCGAAUUC
rnacentral:rRNA from 1 species